rnacentral:misc_RNA from 1 species
CCACCCUCAGGCGCUUCUUGCGUCUGCUGUUGGGGCUUUCUGCGGCGUAGCCGCAGGCCUCGAAAGCAAGUGGCGGGCUGGCUGGUCGGCUCCGAGCGCAGUAAUUUUUCUUCGCUUUGGAUGCCCCGGCUUGCGCCUUGCCGUAAAACCUUUUAUUUUUUAGG